GGAUGCUGCAGGAGGUGUAUCUGGGAAAGGGAGGGGAGAGCCAUUCUGAGCAGCCAGGCUUGGGAUCUGCUGCGUCAUUGCUGACCGUCUGCCCAUGGCUGAACUUGCCACUGCCUGGCAAGAGUCUGACUCCAUGCACGGAUGCCAAGGACAGAGCAGAACUCAGCUCUCUGCAGAUCUGAGUAAUGCUAACAUACUAUCCUUAAAAAGAUAGUGAAUAGAACAAAAAAGAAGCAGCCUCACAGAUACAGAGAACAAACUAGAGCUGAGUAACCUGGAGCUCACGGAGCAUGGUAAUGGGAGCGUCGCUGGGCAAGUUAAAGAAGAAAACCACCAUCCACUCCCCGCAGGGGCUGCCCCCAAAGCCUGUGCUGUUUUGUCUGAUCCUGAAGCUGGCUCCGUCUGAUGCCACAGCCCACGAGCUGCUCUGCCAUCAUUCGUCUCGCCUGGGACUCGCUGGAAAUGGGGGCUAUUGCCCUGGCGAAGAUGCAGUAGAGGAAGGAGCCUAAGGAACGUUGUCACUCUUCACAACAUGUUAUGAGAAGUAUGAUGAAAGUGGCUGGAUGCUGAGAUUCAGGGACAGGAAGAGAACGUCCUCUGUCUUCUUUCCUUUGCCACCUCUACGUUCUGUUCCGUCCACCCUCUCACUGCCCUGCUUAAAAACUUUGACUGGCACCCAUUGCCCUUGGGGUCAGGUCUGGACUCUGUAAGUGGCUUCCCCAACCCUCCAGAACCCUUUACUCUCUGAGCAGCCAUCCUAGUUCUGUAGCUUAAGAGGUGGCAAUAAUUCCAUCUCAAUGAACCACCUCUCAGGAAAGCUCACCAGACCCGUGUUUGCAUGAGGAAGACACGUGGGCAUUGCUGGUGGGAAAGCACUCGGUCUGAGUGACUCAGGGCUUGGGAACAGCACUGUGACCUCAACAGAACAGCUACCCCGCUUGUUAUUUCCUGCAGAAUCUUCCAGCUGCUCAGCCUUCCCGGAGCUGGGCUCAGUCUAGCAGCCCAGCUGAGUCCUCCCCCUUCAUACACCUUCCGCCCACCACGACGGCCCAUGUGAUAAGAUGUGGGGCUUCAGCGCGGGGCGUGUGCCCACUCUGCUUCCCAUGAUGUGCAGCUGCCUCUUGUCCUGCUGCUGGGAAAAUACUGAAGGUCUGGCUAUAGCUAAGAGAGUCCGACAACAUGUAAGGCACAAACAUUCUUUAUCUGCAGGAUGAGGUUAGCUUCUGUUUGGGCCUGGUGUUUUUUUAAGAAGGAAAUCGCGUUCAUAAGAAUCAGAUUAGGUCCAGGAAGCGUCCGCUGGGCAAGGCAAAACUGCUAGAGGCAGAGGGUCAGGAUUUUCUCAUUGGUUAUGACUGCCACCUCCUGGCUGAGCUUGUGAACGACACAAUCUGGACUUCCUAGGGAAACAGUAUUAAGAAAGAUUACUAGCCCCUUUCUCCAGCUUUUUAUCAGCUCUGAGUGGUGCAAAAGGGAAAUGAGAGGAAUUUUCCUUAGAUAGAGUAUUUCUUUGCAUAUUUCAUAUUAGCAACAAUGAUAAAGCAGACACAGCAACGAUGAAUAAAAACAUAGUGGACUCUUCUCAUUUGAGGCAAACAAAGAAUUUGUCAGAGCAAUUUAUUAUACCUUCUUGAUUCGGUGUUAGC